GAUGAACGCUGGCGGCGUGCCUAACACAUGCAAGUCGAGCGAACAGAUGACGAGUUUGUUCCUCUGACGUUAGCGGCGCACGUGUGUGUAACACGUGGAUAAUCCACCUAAAAUACUGGUAAAACUUCGGGAAACCGGAGCUAAUACCGGACAAUAUAAUGAACCGCAUGGUGCAAUAGUGAAAGACGGUUUUGCUGUGACCUAUAGAUGGAUCCGCGCCGCAUUAGCUAGUUGGUAAGGUAACGGCUUACCAAGGCAACGAUGCGUAGCCGACCUGAGAGGGUGAUCAGCCACACUGGAACGGAGACACGGUCCAGACUCCUACGGGAGGCAGCAGUAGGGAAUCUGCCGCAAGGGGCGGAAACCUGACGGAGCAACGCCGCGUGAGUGAUGAAGGUCUUCGGGUCGUAAAACUCUGUUAUUAGGGAAGAACAAAUUUGUAAGUAACUAUGCGCGUCUUGACGGUACCUAAUCAGAGAGCCACGGCUAACUACGUU
rnacentral:rRNA from 1 species